rnacentral:lncRNA from 1 species
CUUUUUUUUUUUUUUUUUUUUUUUUUGGUAUGUUUUGUUUUAUUUGAAUGUCUUGACUCUGUGCUGCAAAGAAUCUGGGAAAACUAGAGGUUAGCCUGGAGAGGUUUUUCGGAAAGUUCAGGCUGUCCCUUGGGCUCGGGGUUUAUCCCUGGGGCAGAUGUUCCAGGCUAAGGGUGGAAUUGAAGCUGCAGCUGCCAGCCUAUGCCACAGCCACAGCCACGUGGGAUCUGAGCUGCAUCCUCAACCCACGCCACAGCCUGUGGCAACACCAGAUCCUUAACCCACUGAGCGAGGCCAGGGAUGGAACCCACAUCCUUGUGGACGCUGCUCGGCCCUCCGGAAACUUAGGUGAACGCCAGCUUGGAAUUUUGUCCCAUCCCCCUGCCGCGGGCCGAAUGAUGGUGUCUCCUCCAAAUUCAUGUGUUGAAGCUCUAACCCCCGUGUGUGGGUGUUUGCAGGUGGCCUCUGGAGCCGGCUGCCACCCUGCCAGGGGCAGAGGGCUCUCACCGGGCACUGAAUCCACCGAUGGCGUGAUCCUGGACUUCCUGCCUCCAGAACUCUGCCCUGCCUUCGGGAUGAUGUCCAGAUUCUGACGGUGCUGCAGGUCCUGGCAGGUUGUGACCGACCUGCUGUCCCACCUGAGCUGUCACCCCUGCUCCUGUCACAGCACUCCUGACCGACCUGCUUGCUGCUCCACAGAGUUCUCUCCCGUUCGGGGUGGGGGUUUGCUUCUGUCCAUCCUGCUCUCGGGGGCUCCCUUCAUCCUCCUUUCGUGGCCUGGUCCUUCUUUGUCCCCAAUCUCAAAUGUCACUUCUGCUAAAAUCUCCCCUGGCCCACCUGGGCCCCCUCUCCCCAGAGUCUCCCCUUCAGAGCCACAAGCACCAGGCUGGGCUGCCUCCUGGUCGAAUCCUUUGAGCUUUGCAGCCCCUGCGGCGGCCCCGCCAGGGGAGCUUUCAUCACAGACCGGGCCUGGCAGGUGGGGCCAUGUCCAGGGGGCAGAUGGCCCUGCCCCCACUAGGACACCAGGGUAGAGGCUCUCCGAGCGUGGACCAUGAUAUCAGUGCCACUGGGACGGUCAAGGGUGAAGAUUCUCAGACCUCAUCCAGGCCGGUGAAUCAGAAGCCCCGGGGAGGUGUGCUCCUGCAAGCCCCCCAGGGGAUUCUGAUGCCGGCCAGGUAUGAGAGCCCCGGGCCGGGGAGAGAACUGCCAGGAUGAGCUGCCGCCCCCUUGGCAGCCUCCCCUGUCCCCUGUGCACUCAGGUCUCCACGUCAGCAUCCGAAGCCUCUGUGUCCUGAAGGCGCACUCCGAGGAGACCGUUUGCCACCAAAGCUUAAAGCCAGGUGUCAAUAAACCCACUGGGGACCAGGCCGGAUGGACUUUGGAAGAAAAGGUGCUGCGUGCCCUUCAGCAGUUCCAGCGAAAGGCCCAUCAGUUGGUGCCUCGGUCCCCUGGGCUCCCAGCCAAGCACACCUGACUGGAUUAAUGAGCAUCUGGUUGGGGAAGAAAAGGAGCCAGAGGCGGCAGGCAGGACAUUUGUGAGAGAAGCGGGGGACACCAUUCACCAGCAAGAACAGCAGCAUAAGCCGGCGUGAACUCCAACCAUCCUGGGCAAGUGCCCGGGGGUCCCCUGGCUUGGAACCAGUUGAAGCUGAUUAUGAGAGAUUCCACUGUCAUGCUGCAACCAAGCAAAAACACAAUAUGCACAGUUGCUAGAAAAGUCACCCCUCCGUUGACUGUUGUCUGUGUGCAUCAGAAAGGUGAUGCCACAGACCUGUGGUGAGGGCAAGGUGGAAUGAGACAAGAGUGACAGUUUGGCGUGGAGGGUGGCAUUUGGCUACGUAAGGACACAGCGCGGACCCAAUUACAACUGAGGCCAGAGCCAUUGUAUCCCAGGGUCAAAACGGGGACCUUGCUGUUCCCCUGCUCCAAGCCUCUAAGCAGCUCCCCAUGGUUGACUGAGAGAAGCAGGCCACCUGCACUGAAGACUUGCUCUCCGGACUCCAUCCUGGAAGCACAGGCCUCCUCCCAGCUGGCCUCCAGGAUGUCUCACCCCUGCGCCUCUGCUCCAUGGUGUAUGGAAGUUCCCAGGCUAGGGGUUGAAUUGAAGCUGCAGCUCAGACUCAGCCAGAUCUGAGCCACAUCUGCCACCAACACCACAGCUCACGGCAACACUGGAUCCUUAACCCACUGAGCAAGGCCAGGGAUACUAGUUGGGUUCGUUACUACCGAGCCACCACGGGAGCUCCAGGUGAUCCUUUUGAGGAAAGGAAUUGAGGUUAUUUAAUUGGGGGAGGGUCAGGAGUGCCUGAGCCCCGUCUUGACGUGGUUAUCAAGGUUGGGAAAGAUGUUGUCUGCUCGUCUCCUGUUUUUGCAAAAAGCCACUCAGAUUGAGUUCCAGGAAGGACUGUCUUGCAUGAUGACGCAUUUCGGCCGGGUCCCUAUUCGGGACAGACCCAGGGGAGCAAGCUAGAUUCCGGGGCGAAGCGGCUAAUUCCAACUGGGACGGGGGACUUCAGACGCCAGCCUCCUCUCUGAAGGGGACACUGGGACAGUCUGGGGAGAGAAACCCGAGGCCUUCGGUUUGUGAACAAGCUGGCGGGAACCGCCAGGACGAAGGUGUGGCGAGCGGCCCAGGACAGGGAGGCGGGAAUCUAAAGCUGAUGCAACAGAGACUUGACCCUCUGCUCUGUUCUGCUUGAAGGUGGGUGGGCGACAGCUGUGGCAGGGGGACACCACUGGACAGACAGGCACUCU